rnacentral:rRNA from 1 species
GAUGAACGCUAGCGGCAGGCCUAACACAUGCAAGUCGAGGGGUAACUAGAGUGAUAGCAAUAUUACUUUGGCUAGACCGGUGCACGGGUGCGUAACACGUAUGCAACCUACCUUAUACUGGGGAAUAACUUCGAGAAAUCGGCGCUAGUACUCCAUAACACUGCGGAGAGGCAUCUCUUUGCAGUUAAAGCUCCGGCGGUAUAAGAUGGGCAUGCGUCCAAUUAGCUAGUUGGUGAGGUAACGGCUCACCAAGGCUACGAUUGGUAGGGGUUCUGAGAGGAUGAUCCCCCACACUGGUACUGAGACACGGACCAGACUCCUACGGGAGGCAGCAGUGAGGAAUAUUGCGCAAUGGACGAAAGUCUGACGCAGCCAUGCCGCGUGCAGGAUGACGGCCCUAUGGGUUGUAAACUGCUUUUGUACGGGAAUAAACCCUUCUACGUGUAGGAGGCUGAAGGUACCGUAAGAAUAAGCACCGGCUAACUCCGUGCCAGCAGCCGCGGUAA